GCCAAACUUGCCCGCCAAGAUCAAAAUUGAUUACUGCUUCCGCUGGUGUUUAUAUCUUCCUCUCUCUUCGACGACUGACGACCAACAGCGCCUCUGUCAGCCAUGUCUCCCGCCCCUCCAGCAGUGACUUCAAGCGGCGGAAUUUGGCGUCUCCGUUUCACUUUGUAAAAGUCACCAUGUCUUUGGGAACGGCUUACUGUGCGCAAGGCAGCAGAGCAGUAAGUGAUAGGAAAAAGAAUCCUUGAUUUGGGCCUUUGUCGUUUAUAUUUGGCGUUGUCAUGGCCAGCUUUGGAAUAAGCAUGCAAGCAUUGGUACGGAUAGCUACGGAUGAGGAUCAAUUUUCGAAACUCAAUUAUGCUUGAUGGUGGGAGUAUCGCGUGCAAGGUUCGCGUCAGUUAUUAUUACCUAAACAGAACUCAAUUUGCUCAACGUCAGAAACACUUUGCAAUUCUGAUGAGACCAACAACUAAUCGAUCAACGAGGCUUUCAUUAUUCUUUAGUCAAGUUCGUAUAUUUAACAGAGCUAAAGGAGAUUUUAUCAAUGAAAAAUAAUGCCUGAAAAGAAAAGAUUACGUGCCCGGAAAAACUCCAAAGCCGACUGCAGGUUGCGCCUCUGGGGAGCGUGACAACUUCAACAGCCGAGCAAAAAUUCAAAAGAAAAUAACA